GAGACUAUAGCUCAAUGAUAGAGUGUGUGCCUAACAUGAACAAGGUCCUGGGUUCAAUCCCCAGUACCUCCA
rfam:Camelus ferus unplaced genomic scaffold scaffold2074, whole genome shotgun sequence.